UUCGCAUCAUUGAAGGGGUUGCUCAGGGACUUCUUUAUCUCCAUCAGUACUCCAGAUUGAGAGUUAUUCAUCGAGAUUUGAAGGCUAGCAACAUUCUUCUGGAUAAAGACAUGAACCCAAAAAUAUCAGAUUUUGGAAUGGCAAGAAUUUUUGGAGGAAAUGAAUCAAAAGCAACAAAACAUAUAGUUGGGACUUAGUAAGUGAAUCCUAACGCAUUGUAAAAUAUGUGGAUUGUCUCACAACAUGCUUUUUUUCUACAUGUAUAUUUGUAAUCAUGCAAUUACUAAAUGAAUUGUUUUAAUAAUGAAUCCAGUGGCUACAUGUCCCCCGAGUAUGUUUUGCGAGGUCUCUUUUCAACUAAAUCUGAUGUUUUUAGCUUCGGGGUCUUGUUACUAGAGAUUCUAAGUGGCAAGAAGAUUACUGAAUUUUAUCAUAGUGGCUCGCUCAAUCUUCUUGGAUAUGUAAGUAACACAAUUUUCCUCUUAUGUAGCUAAAGUUAUCAUGUUUACUACUAUAUUUCAAGCUUGAAGUUACACACUUGAAUGCAAUUGACCGAAUUAGGACUAUAUAUCUUUUUUUCUUUUUUCGGGAAUGUGCAUCAAAGUAUAAUUUUCUUUCCUUUAGGCAUGGGAUCUGUGGAAAAACAACAAAGGACAGGAGUUGAUUGAUCCAGUAUUGAAUGAGAUAUCUUUGAGACAUAUUAUGUUAAGGUACAUCAAUGUAGCCCUUCUUUGUGUUCAAGAAAGUGCAGAUGAUAGGCCCACCAUGUUCGAUGUUGUCUCCAUGCUUGUCAAGGAAAAUGUACUUUUAUCUUCUCCAAAUGAGCCAGCCUUCUCAAAUCUAUCGAGUAUGAAACCACAUGCAUCUCAAGAUAGGCUUGAAAUUUGUUCCUUAAAUGAUGUAACACUUUCAAGCAUGGGAGCACGAUAAGUUUUCUAAAUUUCAGAUUGCAUAUGCUUAAAUGUCUUCAGCAUAUUGUCUAGUAUUAUUAUUGGCCAUCAAGUUGAUUGUUGAUGUACUGAACGUGUGAACUUUUGUAUGUAUUUUUCUUUCAAUGCAGUUCAAUAAUGUGCUUAAUUUUACUCAAUCCUCAAGGAUUCAGACCUGUAUCUCAUCUUCCCAUCUGUAAUUGCUACUGAAUCUGUUGGUUUUGAAACUAGAUAAUUAAAAGAAAAACGGAAGCCAGAAAAUUUUUCUCAAAAUUUAAUGAAAUAACAAAUAUAGGUAAUUUAGAAUUGUACCUUGCGAUUAGGCUGAUAAAUUUGAACUCCACCUAAAGGAUCUUAGAAUUCCAAAUCCUCUAAAGCACCAUGGAUCUUUCUCUAACGUUCUCCAAAAAAUGAUGAACUCAAAACGAGUGGGCGUUUAUUAUCUUUGGGUUUUUUUUUAUAUCACACAACUUAAUAUAUUGAAAACUUGUAUUCUCACCCAUCAUCCGAAAAACAUUGAGAAAAAAAAAACUUUUUAAUACCACGAAGAAAAAAAUGACAUAUUUUGAAUUUUGAAAAACAUGGGAGAGAAUAUCUCUCCCCAUGAUCCCCACUUAAAAAGUGUUUCUUUGAAUUUUGAAAAACAUGGGAGAGAAUAUCUCUCCCCAUGAUCCUCACUUAAAAAGUGUUUCUUAGGGAAUACAAGUAAGUGUGGUCUUCACUACAUUGUAUCAAAAAUUAUUUUAAAUAAUCAAAUUAUAAAAUAAAUAAAUCAAAUCAAGAUUGUGUGAAAUUAAUUUAGAAUUCAAAAUUCCAAACUAAUAAAAUCAACCCAACAUAAAAAAAAAUGUUCAUAUAAUUUUAAUGGAGCCGUUGAGAGGAACUAUGGACAUUAUAAUUUUAAGCUCCAAUAAUUUUGACAAUUAAUUAACAACUUAAUUAAAAAAUCAAAAUUAUUAAUUCCAAAAUUACUCCACUAAAAAUUUGGAAUUGCACUCUUAAAAUUAUAAAAUUAAAUAUAUUCAAAGGAUUUGAAUUGCCCAUUAAUAUAGUUACUACAUAUGAGUCAAUCCUCCAUAAACGGUUCAUAAUUAAAGCUAGGUUUUUCCGUUAACCUCUUUAAUUAUAUCUUUCUCCUUAAGUGCCAUUGGUUCUCUAAUGAAUAAUAUAUUUAUGGUCUAAUCAUAAAUUGAGCGCUCUUAUCAUUCAAGGCCCGAACCAAUACUUAUGGUAACCGUCCAUCUGACUUCUUAACGAAGGAAUGAAUUUCAUCUUGUAUAUUAAUAUUCCCGGCUAUUUAUUUUAUUAUACUUCCAAUACACCAAUAAUUUGACACUAUGUAUUUGUGUCAUUACCCGAUAUGUAAAAAAAUACAAUACAAUAAAUAGGAGUCUAUUAAUCACUCAGAAUUAAGAUCAAUGCAUAUAUGACCAUCAUUGAUUAAUAUUGAAUGCUCUAUAUUAUAACGGAAUUUAUUAGAGAUUCAUAAUUAAUCGUGUUCCAGUCCUAUAUAAUCAAAUUAUAUAAAACGCUUUCAUUCCAAUAAUCUCAUUAUUAACAAUCCGGAUAAGAUCAUUUCAUUCAUAAUGUAAUGAACCACGCUAGUAAUUUUAAAUUAAAGAUCCCAACUUUAAUUUUUAAUUACGAACAUAUUAGAUUAUUUUACUUUAAAUGUUAUCCUCCUGUAUAUAACACUUAUAUACAAUAUUUAAAGUUACAAUUAAAUAAUCUAGGGUUUUCGAUAUUUAUAAAGCAUCUAUAACAUGCAUGCAACAAUAAUAUUGAAAUAAUUCCUUAAAAAAAUAUUAAUAAUCAGCAAAAUAAAAAACAUCUCAUUUGUUUAUGGGCACAUAUUCCAACAAAAUCUGCUUUUAUGCAUUGCCAAUCCAGACACUAAAAUACAACCCUCAGAGCUUACUGCAAAUAUUCAACUAGUACUAGGAAAGACGAGCUUUUGCGCAUGAUAUAGCUAAGCAUAAGUACUAAUUAACAUAUAGGCAAGAGGGAAAGUGAGGAAGGAAAGCAGAUAUAGAUUUUUUUGCCUUUUAAACUGUGAUAGCAUCUAGCAUUUUUUUUAAGAGAAGAAAUAGUAUAAUUUAAUUGAGUACUCGUAAAACCUUCUUUUCUUAUUGGACAUGGUUUCAAUAAAACCCAUUUGGUUGCCAAGAAAUCUGAGGAAAUUCCCUUAAUUCUAAGGGUUCAAGAACAAGCCGAGUCCAGCACGACUCGGCCGAGUCGUAUAAACUCAUACUCAAUCAGGAAUCGCUUAAACUCGGUUAACUCAACGGAGAUUCCGAGUUGACUCGGUUGAACCGUUUGUGUUAACAAAAGAAAUCGUUUUUUCACUUUCGAAUCACAGCAGAGGAACAACAAACGAGAUGUAAACCUAAAAAACCUCUCAAAAAUCAAAGAUUGUCUUCAAAAGGAAAAGCUUCUCAACAACCAUGAUGAAGAGGAAGAAAGGCAUCAGUCUAAACCAUGACCGAGUCUUGGAGGUGCACAAGAAGAAGAGGUUGAGGUAUUACUAACUUCAGAACGAUCAUGGAUGUGGAGCGCCUUCGAUGGUCCCGGUGUGGUAACUGGUGUGAUGAGAAGAUUCCCUCCAUUGACGUGAGCGGCCAUCGCUGCAUCUGGUCUCUCCUCUCUCUAAUUUUGGUCUCAGUUCUCGCCUGCUUCUGUCUGCCUUCCUCCCUCUCUCUCUCUCUCUCUCUUUCUCCCUAGUACGGGUGAGUUAGUGAUUUGAAGAAAGGGUGGCAAUCGGUGCCAGAAAAUUGGGGAUUUGAAGACAGGGUGGUCAAUGUUUUAAUAUCACAAUUAUUUAUAAUUGUAUAUGUUAAUAUUAGGUAAUAUAUUAUCAAAUUUUAUAGUCUUUGUUUUUUUUAUGAUAAUAAUUUAUUAUUUUAUAUAUUAAUGGUGUGAUAUAAAUUAUAUUAGCUUAAGUAAAGUAUUAUUUUAUAUGGCAAUGAUAGCAUAUUUGAUGUAUUAAUUUAUUAUUAACAAUAUAUUCAAGUCAUUUAAUAUAUUAUUAUAUUAACAUAUUAAAAUCAUUUAAUUAAUAAUAUAUACUUUGUUUAAUAAAUAUAAUUUUAUAUUAUAUUUAAACAUAAAGUGUUGUAAUCAUUUAAUCAAAAUUAAAAAUAAAAUUAAUGAUUGAAUUAUAUGUCUUUUAGUAAAAAUAUCAUUAUAGUUGAAAUAAAAUAAUUUUCAAUUCCUAACAUUAUCAUAAAUUGUUUUUGUGGAGACUUUAUAACUAUUUAAAUAAUAUUAAAUGUGAAAAAAUUUAUUUUAUAAUUUUUAAGCUUAUUUAAUUAUAUUUGUUUUUGUAAAAAAUUUCAAAAUUUUUUUCUAAUUUAAAAAUUUUUUAGUUAUCUUAUUUUGCAUACCACUUGAUACCAAAUCGAGAUGUUGAGACCGUUAUGCCUUGGGACCCUCCAAAUUAAUGAUUGAUAUCGUCACUUCAAUUAUAUGAAUAUAAAAAAUAAAUAUGUAAAGAAAUACCAUAAGACAUAAUAAUAGUAUUUUAAAAUAUUUUUAGCAUAUUGAUAUAAAUAUAUAUAUAUAUAUAUAAUUAUUUAAUAGUUAUUACUUAUAUUUAAUGGUUUAAAAUAUUUUUUAGUUUUUAAUUAGUAUAUUUUUUGUAUCAAUCAAUAUCGCUUUGACAUCUUAGAUUUAAAUAAUGAAAAUAGUAUCAAUUUUUCAAAAAAAAAGAAAGAAAAAGGAAAUGAUCUUUUAAGGUUAAAGUAUUAAUCUUUAGGUUUAGAUGUUCCCAAACCUUCAAUUCUAAGUGUUGAAGACGACUUCGAAGUUGUUGGAAGUCUUGUAAAUCUACGAUUUUCUAUCUGAUGAUUUGAACCUUGAUCUUAAUGCACUUUUAGUGGAGAUCGAUGGAAGAAAGGGUGGAAACUAUGAGUCUUUCUCUUUGAAGGUGGAAGAUGACUUUCUACAAAAAGUUAUGGAAACUUUAACCCCAAGAUCGAUGUACCUUAAAACCUUUCAAGUCAAUGACCCAUACCGUAACUUUCAACCAUAAGAUGGACACUAAAAAAAAAAAGAAUUAGAGUUGGAUUUGAACACAAACAUCUUUCAAAGAAGAGAAUGUACCUAUCAUUAUGGAAAAUUAUUAUUAAAUUUGGGUGGCAAAAUAUAUCUCCUAUAUUUUAACCCCUACCAUAAGUGACUUUGUGUAAGCGUAAAAAGAAGAACUAUAGAAAAGAUGCCUUAGGUAUUUGCUGAUUAUGAACUAUAUCUAGUAAAAGAUCAUACACGAUGUCCGAAAAACUAUAGAAGAAGAUAAAUCUUGAAGGGAAGAUCAAUGGAAAUGGGUCUAUGACUCGCCACUCCAUGAUUUAUGGGCUGCUUAAACUCUGAUGAUGGGUUAUGGGUAGCAUGAAAAUUUCAGCCAGAGGGUGGUCUGUCAAUCUUGCUUGUUUCUUCAUGUUUUCACUUGGAAUUUGCUAAUGCAUUUAUAGACACAAUCUUACAAGGUCAGUCAAUCACAACUUCUCAAACCAUCGUAUCUGUUGGUGGUGACUUUGAAUUAGGAUUCUUUUCUCUUGGAAACUCCACAAAAUACUAUGUGGGGAUAUGGUACAAGAAAGUGUCAGAGCAAACCAUUGUGUGGGUAGCUAACCGAGGUUAUUCAUUCACAAAUCUAUAUGUGGUUCUUACUAUUAUCCCAGAUGGUAACCUCGAGAUUUGGGAAGGGAAAAUUUCAUACAAGGUGACAAACGUAUCAUUAAAUAGAAACACCGGUGCCACCCUGUUGGAUUCAGGAAAUUUUGUUUUGAGAAAUGAGAAGUCGAAUAUCUUAUGGUAGAGCUUUGACUAUCUAUUGGACAUGAUCUUGCCCAGAAUGAACAUUGGAUAUGACAGAAGGGCUGGAAAAACAUGGUCAUUGGUGUCAUGGAAGAGCACAGAAGAUCCUAGUCCAGGAGUUUUUAUUAGAGAAUUCAUUAUAAUAGAUUUUCUUAUUAGCUUUUUUCCUAUAAUGUGUGGCCAUAUACAAUUAUAUUUGUAUGAAUAUUAUUUAAGGGUAUCAAUUGAUCGGUAGGUGAAUCAAUUGAUUGGGUAUCUAAGAGUCUUAUGUAUGGAAGACUCAAAUUUAUAAAUAGGGAGUUAGAAAAUUUAACUCAUAUGAAUGUGGUGUUACAACUUUUGUAACCCCAUCAUUAUGAAAUUUAUUUGUACAUUAUGUUUAUGAGUAAUAGAGGAAAAUGGAAAAGUAUAACCUAUGCAAUUAUAUAGAUGCAUUCAAGUUCAUACCCCACCAUUACCCAUUAAUUUGUACAUAAUGGGUGUAAAUAAUGAGUAUAACUCCCAUAUAGUCUUUGAUGGGAAGACUAAGAGAUGUAUAAUUUUUUUUAUAAAUUGAGGUCCUAAGCCACACUCUCAUUCUUAUGUCUUUUUGUUGGUUUAUUUUUAACAACAUACACCACACAAGUGACCCAUCCACUAUAUGAGAGUAGUGAGUCGAAGACCUUGCCAAUCCAAUUCACAAGGUAACUCAAUCUCACUUCAAAAGUGUUAUUGAUAUCAUGAAUCAAGGUAAGAAUAUGAUCAUUAUUUGAAUACUUAUAUAUAUAUAUUUUUUUUAUGCAUCCAAAAUGGUUUUAUAAAAUAAUAAUUUCCACAUAAAGUUUAUAAAAGUUUGGUUGACAUUUCUUUCUAUUUUUAAAUUCUUCUAAUUAGUUGUAAUUUCCUAUUUUUUUUUGUAAUAUCCUAAUUUUAGGAUUGUUUCUUAUUUUUGUAUUUUGGGUAGAUUGUUUCCUAUUUUUGUGUUUUAGGUUUUGUGUAUAUAUAUUCAUUCUUAAUCAAUGGAAAAGUCAAGCCAUUGUUUCUCAAUAAUCUUCUACUUCAACAUGGUAUCAAGAGCCUAAUUUUCUUUGGUGUAUUUUCUUCCUUUUUUUUUUCCCUUUUCCUUAAUGGCUUCCAGUGCAUCCUUCUCUUCCACCAACAAUCCUAUCACCAUCCAAAACUCUCAAGAUCCUCAAAAUCCUCUCCUUACAAUCAAUCUCUCCAAUAUCACCAAAUUGUCAUCCAUCAAUUAUCUCACAGGGAGCCUUCAAAUCCAAUCCUUCUUGAAGGUUAUAAUCUUCAUCACUUCAUUGAUGGCGCUCAUACUCCACCACCACCCACCGUCACCGUCACCAUCACUUGUGUUGCAUCCCCAAAUCUAGUAUACACAACCUGGAAGCGUCAGGAUCGUCUCAUCUUUAACGCUCUCCUUGGUGCUAUCUUCGUUUCACUACAACCGCUUAUUGUCUGCACCACCACUUCCCUUGAUGCAUGGCAAACCUUAGUUAAUACCUAUGCCAAACCCUUGAUAAUUUUCUCUCCACCAAUGGUAUAUCCCAUCUUACUACACCACAUACACCUGGACACAAUGGCCUUUCCGAAUGACGUCAUUGUCAUAUUGUUGAAACCGGUCUAUUUCUUCUCACUUAUGCAUCGAUAUCUCUAACUUAUUGGACUUACGCCUUUGCCACUAUUGUAUAUCUCAUCAACUGUAUGCCCACACCCACACUAUAUCUCUCAUCUCCUUUUGACCAACUCUUUGAGUCUCCACCCAACUACACUAAACUUUGGGUGUUUGGUUGCUUAUGUUAUUCGUGGCUUUGUCCUUAUUCUCAACAUAAACUUAACUCUCGUUUCACUUCUUGUGUUUUUCUUGGUUACUCUUCCUACACCACCUAUUAUAUAUUGUGACAAUGUUGGUGCCACCUAUCUCUAUUCUAAUCUAGUCUUUCAUUCGCGCAUGAAACAUGUGGCAAUUGACUAUCACUUUAUUCGGGAUCAAGUUCAAUUAUGUGUUCUUCGUGUUACUCAUGUUUCCUCAACAGAUCAACUUGUCGACGCUCUUACUCAACCGCUUCCACAAAGCUUCUUCCAAGAAUUACGGGUCAAGAUUGGCGUCUCCUCCAGAGCUCUAUCUUGAGGGGGCAUAUUAGAGAAUUUAUUACAAUAGAUUUUCUUUCUAUUUUUAAAUUCUUCUAAUUAGUUGUAAUUUCCUAUUUUUGUUGUAAUCCCCUAAUUUUAGGAUUGUUUCCUAUCUUUGUGUUUUGGGCUAAUUCUAGGAUUGUUUCUUAUUUUUGUGUUUUGAGUAGAUUGUUUCUUAUUUUUGUUGGAAUAUGUGCCCAUAAACAAAUGAGAUGUUUUUUAUUUUGCUGAUUAUUAAUAUUUUUUAAGGAAUUAUUUCAAUAUUAUUGUUGCAUGCAUGUUAUAGAUGCUUUAUAAAUAUCGAAAACCCUAGAUUAUUUAAUUGAAACUUUAAAUAUUGUAUAUAAGUGUUAUAUACAAGAGGAUAAUAUUUAAAGUAAAAUAAUCUAAUAUGUUCGUAAUUAAAAAUUAAAGUUGGGAUCUUUAAUUUAAAAUUACUAGCGCGGUUCAUUACAUUCUGAAUGAAAUGAUCUUAUCCGGAUUGUUAAUAAUGAGAUUAUUGGAAUGAAAGCGCUUUAUAUAAUUUGAUUAUAUAGGACUGGAACACGAUUAAUUAUGAAUCUCUGAUAAAUUCCGUUAUAAUAUAGAGCAUUCAAUAUUAAUCAAUGAUGGUCAUAUAUGCAUUGAUCUUAAUUCUGAGUGAUUAAUAGACUCCUAUUUAUUCUAUUGUAUUUUUUGACAUACCGGGUAAUGACACAAAUACAUAGUGUCAAAUUCUUGGUGUAUUGGAAGUAUAAUAAAAUAAAUAGCCGGGAAUAUUAAUAUACAAGAUGAAAUCCAUUCCUUCGUUAAGAAGUCAGAUGGACAGUUCCCAUAAGUAUUGGUUCGGGCCUUGAAUGAUAAGAACGCUCAAUUUAUGAUUAGACCAUAAAUAUAUUAUUCAUUAGAGAACCAAUGGCACUUAAGGAGAAAGAUAUAAUUAAAGAGGUUAACGGAAAAACCUAGCUUUAAUUAUGAACCGUUUAUGGAGGAUUGACUCAUAUGUAGUGACUAUAUCAAUGGGCAAUUCAAAUCCUUUGAAUAUAUUUAAUUUUAUAAUUUUAAGAGUGCAAUUCCAAAUUUUUAGUGGAGUAAUUUUGGAAUUAAUAAUUUUGAUUUUUUAAUUAAGUUGUUAAUUAAUUGUCAAAAUUAUUGGAGCUUAAAAUUAUAAUGUCCAUAGUUCCUCUCAACGGCUCCAUUAAAAUUAUAUGAACAUUUUUUUAUGUUGGGUUGAUUUUAUUAGUUUGGAAUUUUAAAUUCUAAAUUAAUUUCACACAAUCUUGAUUUGAUUUAUUUAUUUUAUAAUUUGAUUAUUUAAAAUAUUUUUUGAUACAAUGUGGUGAAGACCACACUUACUUGUAUUCCCUAAGAAACACCUUUUGAGUGGGGAUCAUGGGGAGAGAUAUUCUCUCCCAUGUUUUUCAAAAUUCAAAGAAACACUUUUUAAGUGGGGAUCAUGGGGAGAGAUAUUCUCUCCCAUGUUUUUCAAAAUUCAAAACAUGUCAGUUAUUUUUUUUUUCUUCGUGGUAUUAAAAUUUUUUUUUUCUCAAUGUUUCUCGGAUGAUGGGAUGAGAAUACAAGUUUUCAAUAUAUAUUAAGUUGUGUGAGAAAAAAAAACAGAAGAAUGAAAAACGCCCACUCGUUUUGAGUUCAUCAUAAUUUGGAGAACGUUAGAGAAAGAUCCAUGGUGCUUUAGAGGAUUUGGAAUUCUAAGAUCCUUUUGGUGAAGUUCAAAUUUAUUAGCCUAAUCGCAAGGUACAAUUCUAAUUUACCUAUAUUUGUUAUUUCAUUAAAUUAAUACAAGUAUUGAUCAUUGAGAAAAAAUUUUGAGAAAAUUUUUUUGGUUUCCGUUUUUUUCUUUUAUUUAUCUGGUUUCAAAACCAACAAUUGGUAUCAGAGCAGGUUGAUACUCUGUAUUAAUUUAAUGAAUGAUUAUUUGAUAAUCUUUGCAUGGCUUUCGGUAGGCACUUUUGCAUAUUGAUGUUUGUUUAUUUUUAUGUUCAUGGUGAUGAAUGUUUGUGGGAAUGGAUUGGCCGUUUUUUUAUUGGUUCCAUGGAUUUUGUUAUUUUUGUAAUAAUUAUUUUAUUAGAUCUUUUGUAAAUAGGAUUCUUGCUGUAAUUCCUAUUUUAUAAGAUUUUUUGUAAAUAGGUUUACUGUUGUAAUUAUAAAUCGGUUUUGGGUUGAAUUUUAUUGAAUUUGAGAAAUUCAAUGGAGACAACCACAAUUCAAGGAAAUUUGAAUAUUAUUGAAUUUGAGAAAUUCAAUGGAGACAACCACAAUUCAAGGAAAUUUGAAUUUUAUUGAAUUUGAGAAAUUCAAUGGAGACCACCACUUUUCAAGGAGAAGAUGAAGAUGUAAAUUUACAGGAAGACCCAGUUUUAUUAUUUGUAUUUUUUUUAUUUGGGUUGUAUUUAACGUCCAUGGAACCCGACCAUUUCCAUUUUUAUAUUUAUAAAGUUGAUGAUUACUUUGUCCUGCAAGGGGUGGAGCCAGGGGAUUCAAACCCAUGAAGGAUGGGUAUUCCUUGCUAGUACCACCAGGCUAUGGCUUCUGGCUGGUUAUUUAUAUGAAGAAGGUUUAUUUCACGUUGCCCCUAAACUUUAUCCCUGGCUCCACCACAACCCUUGUUUUAGCAUGUCAUUUUAGUUAGAAAAGUGCCUACCUAUUUUUGCAUGUCAUGCAUUCAUGCGUUUAUUUUUAUUUUAUUUUAUAUAAUGUCACAGAUGACUUAAUUUAUAAUUUUAAAUUGUUUAAAAUAUAAAGGCUUAGUAAUUUAAAAUGUUUAAAUUGUCUAAGGUUUAUGAAACAAUAGUUGUUUUAUAAAUUAAAUACACCUUUUGCAAUAUAAUGAGUGGGAGCGGGUAAUAUUACAAUAUAAACCCUAGGUCUCCACCAUUAAUACAACACUGUGAGUUUUUAGUAGCGCUUAGAGACGCUUUGAUUUCGUCCUCCCUACGGAAAGUGUCUACUAAUUUCAAUAACAAGGUUGUCUUCCAUGAGAUAGGAUUUUAAGAUGUAUUUUAGAAUUGACCUACCCUACGACGGCAAUUUCUAAAUUAAAUCUUAAAAAUCUGAUAUGGUGGGUUACACUCAUAAAGAUAUAAUUAAAUUGGUUAAUUAUUUUCUUGACCGAACUUAAAGGAAAUUAAUAAGUAUUAGAAAUAUGAGAUAUUUUGGAUAAUAUUUAUUAAUUGAGAAAGUCUCAUUUUAAUUAGCAGCUUUUUGACCUACCCUACGGCGGCACUUAGUUGUGGUAAUUAAAAUUCCUUAGGCUGUUAAAGUAUAAUUUUUGGUGUAUUUUAUCAUGAGCAUUCUUGCUUCAUAUUUACUUUGCCUUUAAUUUUCUUAUGAUAUUUAUGCAAUUAUUUAUUGAAAAUAUUUCUUAUUUUUGUUCAGCAAAUAUGUCAAACCCAAUUUUCUCACUUCUCGCCUCUCAAGUUUUAACUGGUGAAAACUUUGUAAAAUGGAAGAGCAACAUGAACACUCUUCUCAUUAAUGAGAACUACCACUUUGUCCUUAAGGAGGAUUGUCCUCCAGUGCCUCCAGCUAAUGCCUCCAAGGCUGUCUCAGAAGAGUAUAAUCGUUGGAUUAUUGCAAAUAACAAGACCCGCUGCUACUUGUUAGCAGCAAUGAAUGAAGUGCUUAGAACUAAGCACGAGGGCCUUGAAACUGCAAGAGAGAUUAUGGAAUCUCUACAGCAGAUGUUUGGACGCCCCUCUGAGCAGGCCCGCCACGAAGCUGUGAAAGCUGUUAUGAACAGUAAAAUGAAGAAUGGUUCUUCAGUUCGUGAGCAUGUCCUUAAAAUGAUUCAUCACUUUAAUGAGGCUGAAAUCAAUGGAGCUAAAAUUGAUGAAAAGACCCAGGUUGGCAUGAUCUUAGAGACACUUUCACCCUCUUUCCUCCAAUUCAGGACAAACUACAUCAUGAACCAUAAGAAAUGUAAUUUGACAGAACUCCUGAAUGAGCUGCAAUCUUAUGAGACCCUUAUAGAUGAUAAGGGAGGCAAGGCAAAUAUUGUUGAGGCUAAUGCAGUUGUGGGAAAGGCUUCUUCUUCAAAGAAUAAGAAGAAGAGAAAUGUGAGAAAUCAAAAGGACAAGAAGAAGAUCCAAAAGAAGAAAGGGAAGGCUGUUGAGCCUAAACCUAAGGGGAAAUGUUUCCAUUGCAAUCAAGACAGCCAUUGGAAAAGGAACUGUAAGAAGUACCUUGAUGAGCUGAAACAAAAGAAGAAACAAGGUAAAUUAGAUUUAUUAGUAAUGGAAACAUGCUUAGUUGAGAAUGAUUUCUCAAGCUGGAUUAUUGAUUCAGGAGCAUCUAACCAUGUUUGUAUUUCUUUGAAGAUGCUUGAGUCAUCUAAGGAUCUUGAAGAGGGAGCUUUCAUGAUGAGAGUUGGCAGUGGGGCAAGAGUUUCAGCGACAGCAGUUGGGACAGUACGACUGUCAUUUGCUAAUAAUAAAUAUUUGUUAUUGCACAAUGUUUAUUUUAUUCCGGAUUUCAAAUGGAAUUUGAUUUCGGUUUCAAAGUUACAUGAACAAUUUAUUUCCGUUUCUUUUGAUAUUGACUCUGUUUCAAUCUAUAAGAAUGGAAUGAAUAUUUGUUCAGGUUAUGUUGAUAAUGGUAUAUAUUNNNNNNNNNNNNNNNNNNNNNNNNNNNNNNNNNNNNNNNNNNNNNNNNNNNNNNNNNNNNNNNNNNNNNNNNNNNNNNNNNNNNNNNNNNNNNNNNNNNNNNNNNNNNNNNNNNNNNNNNNNNNNNNNNNAAAUGGAAUAUUAUCACAGCUCACGGCACCUGGGACACCUCAGCAAAAUGGUGUAGCCGAAAGAAGAAAUCGCACUUUGCUUGACAUGAUGAGAUCAAUGAUGAGCUAUUCUUCUCUGCCAACCUCAUUUUGGGGAUAUGCAUUACAAACGGCAGUAUAUAUUCUGAACAUAGUUCCAUCUAAGUCAAUCCCUAACACUCCCCUAGAGUUAUGGAAUGGUCGCAAACCUAGUUUGAGACAUAUUCGCAUAUGGGGGUGCCCUGCGCACGUGUUAAAGGGAAAGACUGGGAAACUAGAACCUCGCUCUGAGGUAUGCAUGUUUGUAGGAUAUCCUAAAGGAACAAGAGGAGGUAUGUUUUAUAGCGCUCAGGAUAACAAAGUAUUUGUGUCAACAAAUGCUACGUUUCUCGAGUAUAACUAUAUGGCAGAUUUUAAACCUAGAAGUAAAGUAGUUCUAGAAGAGUUGCUAGCUGAUGAGAUCAGCCCCAUGCCAACAACAGUUGUUGAACGACAAAGAAAAGAAACCACUGCUCAAGAUCUAACACCACCGCCACCACGACGUAGUGGGAGGGAAAUAAGAUUGCCCAUUCGCUAUCGUGAAAAUGGAGAAGCACAAGUUGCAGUCACUGAUGGCAGUGAUGAUGAUCCAUUGACAUUCAAAAUGGCGAUGGAUGAUGUUGAUCGAGAGAAAUGGUAGGAAGCCAUGAAACUCGAAAUAGAGUCUAUGUACUCAAAUUCAGUCUGGGAACUUGUAGAUCUACCAGAAGGCAUUAAGCCUAUUGGUUGCAAAUGGAUCUAUAAGAGAAAAAGAAGACCUAAUGGGAAAGUAGAGACUUUCAAGGCAAGGCUGGUGGCAAAGGGUUUUACCCAAAAGGAAUGAGUAGACUAUGAUGAUACUUUUUCACCAGUUGCCAUGCUAAAAUCCAUUAGGAUUCUCUUGUCCAUUGCUGCUUAUUAUGAUUAUGAGAUAUGGCAAAUGGACGUCAAGACAGCAUUUUUGAAUGGCCAUCUUGAAGAGACUAUUUAUAUGGUCCAACCAGAGGGUUUCGUGGUCAAAGACCAAGAGUAGAAAGUGUGCAAACUACAAAGGUCCAUUUAUGGACUUAAGCAAGCUUCUAGAUCUUGGAAUAUCAGAUUUAACGAAGCCAUAAAGUCUUAUGGUUUUGAACAAAAUCUGGGUGAACCUUGUGUCUAUAAGCAAAUAGGAGGAGAUAAAGUGGUUUUCUUAGUUCUUUAUGUGGAUGACAUUCUACUCAUUGGAAAUGAUGUAGAAUCUCUAUCCAAGGUAAAGAACUAGCUAGCCAGCCAAUUCCAAAUGAAGGAUUUGGGAGAGGCAAGCUACAUUCUUGGUAUCCAAAUGACUAGGGAUCGUAAGAAUAGGCUUCUGGCAUUGUCUCAGGCAGCAUACAUUGACAAGGUGCUUGUCAAGUUUGCAAUGGAGAACUCUAAGAAAGGGAAUUUGCCUUCUCGACAUGAAGUCCAUCUCUCUAAAGAGCAGUGUCCAAAAACACCACAAGAUGAGGAGAAAAUGAGACGAGUUCCCUACGCAUUAGCAGUUGGUAGUUUGAUGUAUGCAAUGUUGUGUACAAGACCUGACAUAUGCUUUGCAGUGGGAGUGGUUAGUCGAUACCAGUCAAACCCAGGAUUAGAUCACUGGGUAGCAGUCAAGCAUAUACUUAAAUAUCUGAGAAGGACAAGAAACUAUAUGUUGGUAUACUCUGGUAGGGAAUUGAUUCCUAUCGGAUAUACAGAUUCUGAUUUCCAAUCAGAUAGAGACUCUCGGAAGUCUACUUCUGGGGCCGUUUUCACUUUGGGAGGUGGAGCCAUUAUAUGGAGGAGUGUCAAGCAAACUUGUGUUGCUGAUUCAACCAUGGAGGCUGAAUAUGUAGCGGCUUGUGAAGCAGCUAAAGAAGCAGUCUGGCUUCGCGAAUUCUUGAAAGAACUGGAAGUUGUUCCAAAUAUGCAUGAGCCAAUUAGACUCUAUUGUGAUAAUAGUGGAGCAGUGGCUAAUGCCAAAGAACCCAGGAACCAUCGCAAAGGAAAACACAUAGAACGGAAAUUCCACCUGGUAAGAGAGACUGUCAGUAGAGGAGAUGUUUCAGUUGAAAAGAUCGCAUCUGCGAACAACAUAGCUGAUCCAUUCACUAAGACUUUACCAGCUCAGACUUUUGAGCAACAUCUUGAAGGGAUGGGACUUAGAGACAUGUCACAUUUGCUUUAGGGCAAGUGGGAGAUUGUUGGAAUAUGUGCCCAUAAACAAAUGAGAUGUUUUUUAUUUUGCUGAUUAUUAAUAUUUUUUAAGGAAUUAUUUCAAUAUUAUUGUUGCAUGCAUGUUAUAGAUGCUUUAUAAAUAUCGAAAACCCUAGAUUAUUUAAUUGAAACUUUAAAUAUUGUAUAUAAGUGUUAUAUACAAGAGGAUAAUAUUUAAAAUAAAAUAAUCUAAUAUGUUCGUAAUUAAAAAUUAAAGUUGGAAUCUUUAAUUUAAAAUUACUAGCGCGGUUCAUUACAUUCUGAAUGAAAUGAUCUUAUCCGGAUUGUUAAUAAUGAGAUUAUUGGAAUGAAAGCGCUUUAUAUAAUUUGAUUAUAUAGGACUGGAACACGAUUAAUUAUGAAUCUCUGAUAAAUUCCGUUAUAAUAUAGAGCAUUCAAUAUUAAUCAAUGAUGGUCAUAUAUGCAUUGAUCUUAAUUCUGAGUGAUUAAUAGACUCCUAUUUAUUCUAUUGUAUUUUUUGACAUACCGGGUAAUGACACAAAUACAUAGUGUCAAAUUCUUGGUGUAUUGGAAGUAUAAUAAAAUAAAUAGCCGGGAAUAUUAAUAUACAAGAUGAAAUCCAUUCCUUCGUUAAGAAGUCAGAUGGACGGUUCCCAUAAGUAUUGGUUCGGGCCUUGAAUGAUAAGAGCGCUCAAUUUAUGAUUAGACCAUAAAUAUAUUAUUCAUUAGAGAACCAAUGGUACUUAAGGAGAAAGAUAUAAUUAAAGAGGUUAACGGAAAAACCUAGCUUUAAUUAUGAACCGUUUAUGGAGGACUGACUCAUAUGUAGUAACUAUAUCAAUGGGCAAUUCAAAUCCUUUGAAUAUAUUUAAUUUUAUAAUUUUAAGAGUGCAAUUCCAAAUUUUUAGUGGAGUAAUUUUGGAAUUAAUAAUUUUGAUUUUUUAAUUAAGUUGUUAAUUAAUUGUCAAAAUUAUUGGAAGCUUAAAAUUUAAAUGUCCAUAGUUCCUCUCAACGGCUCCAUUAAAAUUAUAUGAANNNNNNNNNNNNNNNNNNNNNNNNNNNNNNNNNNNNNNNNNNNNNNNNNNNNNNNNNNNNNNNNNNNNNNNNNNNNNNNNNNNNNNNNNNNNNNNNNNNNUAAAUAUAUUAUUCAUUAGAGAACCAAUGGCACUUAAGGAGAAAGAUAUAAUUAAAGAGGUUAACGGAAAAACCUAGCUUUAAUUAUGAACCGUUUAUGGAGGAUUGACUCAUAUGUAGUGACUAUAUCAAUGGGCAAUUCAAAUCCUUUGAAUAUAUUUAAUUUUAUAAUUUUAAGAGUGCAAUUCCAAAUUUUUAGUGGAGUAAUUUUGGAAUUAAUAAUUUUGAUUUUUUAAUUAAGUUGUUAAUUAAUUGUCAAAAUUAUUGGAGCUUAAAAUUAUAAUGUCCAUAGUUCCUCUCAACGGCUCCAUUAAAAUUAUAUGAACAUUUUUUUAUGUUGGGUUGAUUUUAUUAGUUUGGAAUUUUAAAUUCUAAAUUAAUUUCACACAAUCUUGAUUUGAUUUAUUUAUUUUAUAAUUUGAUUAUUUAAAAUAUUUUUUGAUACAAUGUGGUGAAGACCACACUUACUUGUAUUCCCUAAGAAACACCUUUUGAGUGGGGAUCAUGGGGAGAGAUAUUCUCUCCCAUGUUUUUCAAAAUUCAAAGAAACACUUUUUAAGUGGGGAUCAUGGGGAGAGAUAUUCUCUCCCAUGUUUUUCAAAAUUCAAAACAUGUCAGUUAUUUUUUUUUUUUUCGUGGUAUUAAAAAAUUUUUUUUUUCUCAAUGUUUCUCGGAUGAUGGGAUGAGAAUACAAGUUUUCAAUAUAUAUUAAGUUGUGUGAGAAAAAAAAACCGAAGAAUGAAAAACGCCCACUCGUUUUGAGUUCAUCAUAAUUUGGAGAACGUUAGAGAAAGAUCCAUGGUGCUUUAGAGGAUUUGGAAUUCUAAGAUCCUUUUGGUGAAGUUCAAAUUUAUCAGCCUAAUCGCAAGGUACAAUUCUAAUUUACCUAUAUUUGUUAUUUCAUUAAAUUAAUACAAGUAUUGAUCAUUGAGAAAAAAUUUUGAGAAAAUUUUUUUGGUUUCCGUUUUUUUCUUUUAUUUAUCUGGUUUCAAAACCAACAAUUUUUGUGUUUUAGGUUUUGUGUAUAUAUAUUCAUUCUUAAUCAAUAGAAAAUUCAAGCCAUUGUUUCUCAAUGAUCCUUUCUCUGCUUCAACAGUUUUCUCCCUGGAGCAUGACCUUAAUGGAACUAGCUAGAUUUUAUCUUGCAAGGGAACAACAGGUACUGGACUAGUGGCGUCCGGGAUGGGCAGGUUUUCAGCCUGCUUCCUGAAAUGCUUUUAGACAAUAUAUUGAAAUACAAUUAUUCCUUUAGUAAGGAUGAGAGCUAUUUCAAUUACUCUCUCUAUAAUUCUUCCAUUAUAAGCAGAGUGGUCCUGGAUGUGUCAGGGCAGAUUAAGCAAAUGACAUGGAUUGAAGACACUCAUCAAUGGAAAUUGUUUUGGUCUCAACCCAGAAGACAAUGUCAGGUUUAUGCUUACUGUGGGCCUUCUAGAAUCUGCAAUCUGGAUUCCUAUGAGUAUUGUGAAUAUUUGCCUGGCUUUGAACCUCGCUCCCCCGGAAACUGGGAAUUGCAAGACAGAUCUGGAGGGUAUGUGAGGAAAGCAGAUUUGCAGUGUGUCAAUGGAAGUCAUGGUGAUGGGGAGAGAGACCAGUUACUUUUGGUGUCUAAUGUAAGACUGCCCGAGUAUCCACUAACAUUGCAAGCAAGAGUGCCAUGGAUUGCGAGUCAGCCAGCCUGAAUAACUACUCUUGCUCUACUUAUGCUUAUGACAACGAGGAGUGUACAGUAUGGAGUGGAGAUCUUCUAAACCUGCAAUAGCUAUCAGAAUCUGACAGUAAUGCUGGAGAUUUCCAUCUCAAACUUGCUGACUCUGAGCAAAAUAGGAGAGGUAAGAAAAAGGGAAUGCUCAUACUAGUUGUUGUAGGACAUAAAGCAUAUAAAAUGGCUAUUGAUUUAGUUAAGUUAAAUGUCAUAUAUUUCCUUCUACAGUUUCAAGCAGCAAGUAGAAGCUAUGGCUCAUUGUUACACUAACCAUUUCUGUAACUUUAGCCUUUGUCACAUUUGGAAUAUGGAGAAGGCUCCAAAGAAAAGGUCAGUAUUUCUCAUGGAUAGAAGAUGACCAAGCAAUUCAAGGCUAUUUAGAUUCCAUCAACACAUACAAAACCAUUUCUUAUCUGAUAUGAAUUCAUUACCAUUGUUGUAGAAUAAUUAAGUUCAUAUUAGAGUUUCAAUCUCCUGAUUACAGUAUUGAAUUAGCUUAUUCCCAUGCCAGAAUUCCUACAUUCUUAUAGAAUUUAAUCUGUUGGUUCUUUACCAAGCAUGGGAAGAUUUGUUACUAUUUGAUUUCAGUGACAGCUCAGAAGAUACCAACCAUGAACUUAGUGAGGCAAAUAAAGGUUGGAGAGGAGAGAAGAAGGAAGUUGAUUUGCCAAUGUUUAGUUGUGCGAGUGUAUCUAUUGCUACCAAUAACUUCUCUAUUGAAAAUAAACUAGGAGAGGGAGGUUUUGGACCAGUUUAUAAGGUGAGCUUAGUAUGACUAACAGUAAUGCCUCUUAGAAAAGAAAUGUGAAAAUUUUUGCUACUGUUCUACAAUCCCUCAACCGUAAAUGCCCAUUAGGCAUACACAAAUUUUCUUUUACUUGGUGUGGUUGUUGUACUUAGUUGAAAUCCCCAUGACAUGGAAAGUCACAAAGAGGAUAUGAGGUAGCUGUGAAAAGACUUUCAAAAAGAUUUGGACAGGGUUGGGAGGAGUUAAAAAAUGAAUCCAUGCUUAUAGACAAGCUUCAACAUAAGAAUCAUGUUAGACUUUUGGGCUGCUGCAUUGAGCUAGAUGAGAAGAUACUGAUUUAUGAGUAUAUGCCCAAUAAAAGCUUAGAUUUCAUCCUUUUUGGUUUGUACUUCUCAACAUAUCUAAACUUUUGUUUAUCCUAAGCUCAAUAAAAAGCUUUUUUCAUUCAUUGUUGUUGGCCUUUUAUUUACUGACACCAGUUUGUAUUUAUUUGGUGUAAAAUUGGGAUAGAUCCUGCAUGACAUGGGAUUCUGGACUAGGAGACACGUCAUUCACAUAAUUGAAGGGGUUGCUAAGGGAUUUCUUGAUCUCCAUCAAUACUCCAGAUUGAGGAUUAUUCAUCAAGAUUUGAAGGUUAGCAACAUGUUUUUGGAUAUGGACAUGAACCCCAAAAUAUCAGAUUUUGGAAUGGCAAGAAUUUUUGGAGGGACUUGGUAAGUGAAUCCUUGCAAACUGUAAGAUACAUGGAUUCUCUCUCUCUCUCUCUCUCUCUCUCUCACACACACACACACACACACACACACACAUAUAUAUAUAUAUACAUUUUUGUCACAAGGCAGCUACUAAAUGAUUUGUUAUAAUAAUGAAAUUUAGUGGCUACAUGUCCCUUGAAUAUGCUUUGGAAGGCCUCUUUUCAACUAAAUCAGAUGUCUUUAGCUCCAGGGUUUUGUUACGGGAGAUUCUAAGAGGCAAAAAAAAAUACCAGAUUUUACCAGAGUGAUUCACUCAAUCUUCUUGGAUAUGUGAGUAACACAAUCUACAAUGUUCUAAUAUACUAAUUCUUGAUUUACUAGUCAGUAAUUUUUCACAUCUUGUUUACUAGUCAAUUUUAAGCUAAAGUUCUUUGCAUGCAAUAAAAAGGACCAUGCAUCUGUUUUUCUUUUUUGGAAAUUUGCAUCAAAAGAACAUUUUCUUUCCUUCAGGCAUGGGAUCUAUGGAAAAACAACAUAGGGCAGGACCUGAUGGAUCCAGUAUUGAAUUGGGAGGCACGGGUUCACAUCAUUCAAGGGAUGGCUCAGGGACUUCUUUAUCUCCAUUAAUACUCUAGAUUGAGAAUUAUUCAUCAAGAUUCGAAGACUAGCAACAUUCUUUUGGAUAAGAACAUGAACAAAACAUAUAGUUGGGACUUAGUAAGUGAAUCAUUAUUAUACUCAUUUUUAUGUGGAAUUUAAAGUUUUAAAAUUUUGUACAAAACAAUUUGCACUUAUAGCUUUUUAAAUAAGAAAACUAUUUUAUAUUUUUAAAAUAAAAUAAUGCAAUUGUGGCAUGUGAAGAAAUUUUUAUUUUUAUGGAUAAAUAUAUUUUACAAAUUUUAUAUCAAUUUCUUUUUUAUUUAUAUCUAUUUAUAUUUUUUUUCAAUGUUUUCAUAAUCGAAUUGGUCAUUGAAUUGAAAAAGUUACUGGUUCACGGUUCAUUGGUUGGAUUGGUGUCGAUCCGUGAUUGAAUCAGUGAUGUUAUAAAUAAGUAAUUUAUAUAUUAUUAAAAUUCAAAAUGUUAUAUAAAAUUUUUUAGAUAUAUAAAAAAAUAAAAAUCAAUAAUAUUUAUUUUUUCAUCUUUAAUAUUAUCAAAUUAACAUAUAUCAAUAAUAUAAUAUUAUCAAUAAAAAAAAUAUUAUCAAGUCCGAAUCGGUGCCUGGUCCACCAGGCUAGUGGUUUUGACCGCCUGUCCGUUGGGCUCAUGAGCGGUCGGCAUUCCGGCCUAAUUAGGCUACCUGGACUGGAUUAAGCUCCAGUUGAUGGUUGAACUGGCCAAUCCAAAACAUUGAUUUUUUUUUUUUAUCUCAAUAUUUGUAUCUUAUUUACUUCAUAUAAACUUGAAAUUAUUAAUUUAAAUAACAAUUAUCCAUUAUCCAUUUAAAACCAGUCAUCCUCACAUUUAUCUCUACACCCAAAUGCCCAUUUCCUAUUGAAAAGUGAAUAUCACAUUGGAUGCAUUGAAUUGUUGUUUCCCUACCACCACCCCUUUUAACUUCUCUUCACUUUGGCAUCACAAACUUAAGCAAUUUUUUUGGGAUGUUGAGAUGAGAUCAUGAGACAAGCGUUCAGAGGACGUGUUGAGAGUUUCUGAUAUCUUCCACGACAGCUAAGACCAUGAAUCUGAAGAGAAAGAACUGAAGAAGAGGGAGGAAAGUGAGAGUUGGUUACUCCCUUAAUUUUCAAAUUUAAAAUGGAUGAUGAAGUCUGAAGAUGUCAUAUUACACAUCCAAUGGGCCCAAUAAAUUCUUGGGUACCUACACAGACUGUUUCGUAGAAUUUUCCUAAAAGAUAUUUUGAAAGGGAGAUCGAUGGAAAGGAGACUUUUACUUACCAGUCGCCGGGCCGCCUCAGAUCCGCUACUGCCUGUUUUGGAUGGCUAUAAGAUUAUUGAUGGGCUGCGUAAACGCUUCUUAUGAGUUAUGGGUAGCAUGGAAUUUUCAACCAGAAGGUGUUCUGCUUAUCUUGUUUUCUUGCUUAUUUCUUCAGGUUUUCACUGGCAAUUUGCUGAUGCAUUUACAGAUACAAUCUUACAAGGUCAGUCAAUUACAACCUCUCAGACCAUCAUAUCUGCUGCUGGUAACUUUGAAUUAGGAUUCUUCAAGCCUGGAAACUCCACAAAUUAUUAUGUGGGGAUAUGGUACAAGAAAAUCUCAGACCAAGUCUCAGACAAAACCAUUGCCUGGGUGGCUAACCGAGAGUAUGCGUUCAAAAAUCCGUCUGUGGUCCUUACUGUCAGCACAGAUGGUAACCUCGAGAUUUUGGAAGGGAAGUUUGCCUACAAGGUGCAAGCAUAUCAUCAAAUAGAAACACAAGUGCCACCCUGUUGGAUUCUGGAAAUGUAGUUUUGAGAAAUGACAACUCAACUAUCUUAUGGCAGAGCUUUGACUAUCCAUCGCACGCUUUCUUGCCGGGGAUGAAAAUUGGAUAUGACAAAAGGGCUGGAAAAACAUGGUCAUUGACGUCAUGGAAGAGCACUGAAGAUCCCAGUCCAAGAGUUUUCUCCGUGGAGCAGGGCCCUAAUGGAACUAGCCAGAUUUUUAUCUUGCAAGGGCCAACAAGGUUCUGGACUAGUGGCAUAUGGGAUGGGCGUACUUUCAGCCUGGCUCCUGAGAUGCUCGAAGACUACAUAUUUAAUUACAGUUAUUACUCUAGUAAGGAUGAGAGCUAUUGGAGUUACUCUCUCUAUGAUUCUUCCAUUAUAAGCAGAUUGGUGCUGGAUGUGUCAGGGCAGAUUAAGCAAAGGAAAUGGCUUGAUUCCUCUCAUCAAUGGAAUUUGUUUUGGGCUCGACCAAGAACAAAAUGUGAGGUUUAUGCUUCCUGUGGGCCUUUUGGAAUCUGCCAUGAGAGUGCAGUCGAUGGAUUCUGUGAAUGUUUGCCAGGUUUUGAACCUGUCUCCCCUAAUAACUGGUACUCGGACGAAGGGUGUGAGGAAAGCAGAUUGCAGUGUGGCAAUACUACUCAUGCUAAUGGGGAGAGAGACCAGUUUCGCAAGGUGUCUAGUGUGACACUACCGAAUUAUCCACUAACACUCCCAGCGAGGAGUGCCCAGGAGUGCAAGUCAGCUUGCCUAAAUAACUGCUCUUGCUCUGCUUAUGCCUACGACAGAGAGACGUGUACAGUAUGGAGUGGAGAUCUUCUAAAUUUGCGACAGCCAUCCCAUUACAACAGUAGUGGUCAAGAUUUCUAUCUCAAACUUGCGGCCUCUGAGCUAAAUGGGAAAGGUAAUAAAAGUAGGGAAUGGUCAAACUUUUUUUGUGGAAGGACAGAGCAUAUGAUUUUCUUUUUCUUAAAUAUAAGAUGAAGUUCAUCAAAGAUUAGUUACAUUUAUUUCUUUUUGCAGUUUCAAGCAGCAAGUGGAAGGUGUGGCUAAUUGUUAUACUGGCCAUUUCCCUAACUUCAGCCUUUGUCAUUUGGGGGAUAUGGAGAAAGCUCCGAAGAAAAGGUCAGUAUUUUUCAUGGAUAGAAGAUGGCCAAGCAAUUCAAGGGUAUUUAGAUUCCAUCUACACAUACAAAACCAUUUGUUUUCUGCAAUGAGCUCAUUACCAUUGUUGUAGAAUAAUUAAGGCCAUAUUAGGAUUUCAAUCUCCUGAUUACAUGUGAGUGUGGACCUGCACUAUAGUGCGAUAAAAAUCAAUAAUGAAUCAAUUUAUUCCCAUGCCAGAAUUCCUACAUUCUUAUGAUACUUGACAGCUGUUUCGUCUUUAUCAAGCAGGGGAAAAUUUGUUACUAUUUGAUUUAAGUAACAGCUCAGAAGAUGCCAACUAUGAACUUAGUGAGGCAAAUAAACUUUGGAGAGGCGAGAACAAGGAAGUUGAUUUGCCAAUGUUCAGUUUUGUGAGUGUAUCUGCUGCUACUAAUAACUUCUCUAUUGAAAAUAAACUAGGAGAGGCGGUUUUGGACCUGUUUACAAGGUGAGAUUAGUAUCUGUGAAUUUUCUUGGUAUGUACAGAGUUUCUUUUACUUGGUGUCAUUGUACUAAGUUAAAAUUCCCAUGACAGGGAAAGUCACAAAAAGGAUACGAUGUAGCUGUGAAAAGGCUUUCAAAAAGAUCAGGAUAGGGAUGGGAGGAGUUAAAAGAAUGAAGCCAUGCUUAUAGCCAAGCUGCAACAUAAGAAUCUUGUGAAGUUGUUUGGUUGCUGCAUUGAGCAAGAUGAGAAGAUAUUGAUUUAUGAGUAUAUGCCCAACAAAAGCUUGGAUUUCUUCCUAUUUGGUUUGUAACUUCUACAUAUCUGAACUUCUUGCUACUGUGUAUUCAAUAAAAAACCAUUCAUUAUUAUUCACCACUUAUUUGCUAACAUGAGUUUGUAUUUAUUUGGUGUAAAAUGGAAAUAGAUCCUGCAAAACAUGGGAUUCUGAAUUGGAAGACAUGGGUUCACAUCAUUGAAGGGGUUGCUCAGGGUCUUCUUUAUCUGCAUCAAUACUCCAGAUUGAGGAUUAUUCAUCGAGAUUUGAAGGCUAGCAACAUUCUUCUAGAUAAGGACAUGAAUCCUAAGAUAUCAGAUUUUGGAAUGGUAAGAAUAUUUGGGAGCAACGAAUCAAAAGCAACAAAUCAUAUAGUUGGGACUUAGUAAGUGAAGCCUAACAAAUUCUAAAAUAUGUGAAUGUUCAUACAACUUUUUUUUUUUUUCUACACAUAUAUUUGAAAUCAUGCAGCUACUAAAUCGUUUUGUGAUUAAUAAUCAAAUUCAGUGGCUACAUGUCCCCUGAGUAUGCAUUGGAAGGCCUUUUUUCGACUAAAUCUGAUGUCUUUAGCUUCGGGGUCUUAUUACUAGAGAUUUUGAGUGGCAAGAAGAAUACUGAAUUUUACCAAAGUGACUCCCUCAAUCUUCUCGGAUAUGUGAGUAACACAAUAUUUCCUCACAUAACUAUUUAUGAUGUUUUGAUAUGCUAAUUCUUUGUUUUCAAUUCCCCUGUUAUAUUACCUAUUUGGUUGUCUUGGGCUAGUAAAUUUUCACAUUAUGUUUACCACUCAGUUUCAAAGCUUAUUUCAUAUCAUUGGCUACUAUAAAAAGGACUUUAUUAUCUUUUACUUUUUGGGAAUUUGCAUCAAUGGAUAAUUUUCUUUCUUUUAGGCAUGGGAUCUGUGGAAAGACAACAGGGGACAGGAGUUGAUGGAUCCAGUGUUGGAAGAGACAUUGCCAACACACAUUCUGUUGAAGUACAUCAAUAUAGGCCUUCUUUGUGUUCAAGAAAGUGCAGAUGACAGGCUUACCAUGUCUGAUGUUGUCUCAAUGCUUGGCAAUGAAAGUGUACGUUUACCCUCUCCAAAACAACCGGCAUUUUCAAAUCUGAGAAGUGGGGUGGCACCACAUAUAUUUCAAAACAGGCCUGAAAUUUGUUCCUUAAAUGGUGUGACACUUUCGAUUAUGGAAGCACGAUAAUGGUUCAGAACUUAAUAAAUAAUAUGCUUAAAUUUCAGCAUAUUGUCUUGCGUUGUUUUUGUGAAUUCAUAGCUCAUGUAUUGAAAUGGACAUGUGAUCUAUGUGUUAAUUUUUCUUCCAAAACAGUUCAAUAAUCAUUCAGACCUGUGUCUAAUAUUUUUAUCUGAAACUGUUAUGAAGUCUGAUUUUAUCCAGUUGAAUUUGGAUUUAAUUUGAUUAUGAUCUGUACCCUCAUCAAUCCAAGGAGUGAAGGACAAUUUUCAGAGCUCAAAAACCAACAAAUGGCGCAUUUAGGGCCAAUCCAUCUAUAGAGAGUCAACUAUCCACCUUCCACUUAUUCUCUUAUAUGUGUUUCCGAAUGCCCUGGCAUAUGUAUAUCUUGCACAGAUUCAAUUCUGUACUACUGUAUAUUUACUAUGAGACUGACUAAGUUCUACUGUUUUGAGAAUAGUGCAGUGUAUAUAUCUUGCCAAGAAUAUUCUAUGGAGCAUAAUUCCUUUGUGAAAUCAGAUGUUUCCAGCUAAGGAGUUGAUUGUGAAUCCUGUGACAAGAGGAACUCGAAAUAUUACCUCUCACUGAGAAUCCUGUGAAUUGAAACCUCCUUAACACCUACCAUAUGAAAAUGAAUGAUUUUUCUUUUCUUUUUUUCUGUAAUUUUAUGUAUUAGCAUGGUAAGUGAAUUCAGUUUUCACUGGGCAUCUGAAAGAAGAUAAUUUGAAACAGUUUUUGGUAUGGGGAAUGGGGUAUGAGGACAAGAUGCUGUAAUUGAUGGAUAUGUCAGUGGGGAAAGAAAUUAUCAGAACCCAGGUGUAGGUAUUAACUUAGCUAUAAUGGGGGAAGGGAGUGAACAGAAGCAGGGUUAGCUUCAAUUUCAGAUUCAUAUCAUACAGUGCUUCAUUCAACUAGUAAUAGCGAAGACAAUUCAGCUACUCAGCAUAGGAGGGAGGAAUUAGUUAAGCAGUUGUAGAUUUUUCGCCUUCCAAAUCCAAAGUGAUCAGACAAUUUUCCAGAAAAAAAAAAAGUGGUAUAACGUUCCCUGUGACUUAUAACACUUCCCAUUUGUUUGGACAUAGUUUGAAUAAAACCCCUUUGGUUGCCAAGAAAACCAAGGAAAAUGCAAAAGAGAAAUAACUUGAAGUCUACAAUUUCUGUAGUUUAUGAUGGAAAGCUCAAGUUCAAGCUCAAGUAAGGCUAAACGAGCCCAUUGACCCUCUCUCAUCUCUACAACAUAGACUUCAAAAGCAAAAUGGGUAAAAUAAUGGUCAUUUAAGGGGCCCUGCGCUUGGCUUGGGAAUCAGUUUCAUUGAAUAUUUUAGGAGAGAUAACAUAUAGCAAGUCAAAAAGUAGAUAAGUACAAACUAAUUUUGCCGUCCAGCAUAGAAAAUCUAAUCCCAGUGGGGCCUUAAGUACAUGAAUUUAGUGUUCUUUCCAUCAUUCUUCUCAUUCUGGUCAUGGUCUAGAUUGAAGAAAGGUCCGAUACAAAUUGGAAAAGUCAUAGAAGGAAAUAUAUCUAGAAGGGAAUCCUAACAAAAGGUCUUUCAAAACUGCUACACCUUGCUUUGCAUCGUAGUUGGUCUCUGCAUUGAAUGAGUCUUUUUUUUUCCUAUGUCCCCUGGAGACAGAAAAUCUGAAAACAUUUCUAAAUGGUUUUCCAAAAUACAGUGCAUGGGAGGUUCCAGGACUUUGAGGGAAAGGAAAGCAGCAGAACCAGCUGGGGAAAAUCAGGUAUCUGAUUUCUUCUAUUAAUUCAUCAGCAUGAAAAGGAUCAUUUCCUGCCACUCUAAUGUUGUUUAAUCUAUUCAACCACGGAAAUUAGGGAAGACUUUGACGAAAAUGAUGCGCGGUCAAGUUCUGCUACCUGCUACAUUGAAUUAUGCUUAUCUAGGGAAGAUGCAUUGAAGUCUUAGAGCAUUUGAGAUUUUUUUUUUCUUUUUUUCUCUUAAGACACAAUUAAUUGUCCAUAAAUUAAUAGCUUGGGAACAAGGAAAAUCAAUUAAUUAAGUGAAUAUUAAUUGCUUAUUAAUUAAUAAAUCAUUAAUUUAUCAAGAUAGUUCUUAUUUUUUCAAAAUAUUGUAUUCAAUAUUAUUUAUUAUAAUUGUUAGGAAGUGUCCCAAUUUCCUAAUUAGUAUAAAUUUAUUUUUUGUAAAGAAUAUUAUAUGAAUGUUUUUAGGUUAAUAUAUUAUUGUAAUAUUAGAUUUUCUUAUAGGGUAAGGAAGGUUGUUGGAAAUAUCUUUGUACAUAUUCUAGGUCAUGAGGAGAAAAAGUUAUGAGAUGGAAAUGACCAUGUAAAGAUUAUACGGGGUAAAUAGAGAUGUGAGAAAGAACGGGAGGUACUCGGUGGAGCGAGAUGACUUGUGGUAGGGUAGGGAUACGAAGAGUAGGAAAACAGGAGAUGUUUUAAGAACCCAAUAAUUGUAUCUGGUUAUGUCCUCUAUAAUGUUUUGGUUCUAUCCUUUGUAAUGUUCUCUAUUGUAUAAUGAAAUGAUUCUCUCUCAUCUGUGGACGCAGACAUGGUUGGUCGGAUGUGAUGAGGGAGCAGCAACACCACUCUUCAUCUCUGAACUAGACUGUGAUGUAGACUUUGGUAUGGAUCUUGACCCCAACUCAACCUCCACCUGUGUGCUUGAUUUUUAUUGCUCUUUAUCACAAGAAUAUCUAAAAGAUGAGUCAUGAAGCAUAGUAGUUUCAUAAAAAAUAACAUCUCUAUUGACCAUGACUUUCUUGGUUUUUAAACACCAUAACUUAUAUCCUUUAACACUAGACUUAUAGCCAAGGAAGACACAUUUUAUAGACCUAGGUUCUAGCUUUCCAUUAUCAACAUGAGUAUAGGCAGGACAUCUAAAUACCUUCAAAUCAGGGUAACUAGCAGGAGUACCAGACCAUACCUCUUGUGGAGUUCUUUUGUUAGUAGUAGUUGAGGGAUAACGAUGAAUGAGGAAACAAGAUGUAGCUUUAGUCCAAAAAGACUUAGGUAAACCAACAAUGGAAAGCAUAUAAUGUACUUUCUCCAUCAAAGUCCUAUUCAUUUGCUUUGCCACACCGUUUUGCUGUGGGGUAUGACGAACUGUAUGAUGCCUCGCGAUUUCUUCUGACUUGCAUAGAACAUUAAAUUCAUAAGAACAAAACUCCAAGCCAUUAUCAGUGCGAAGACGUUUUACCUGCUUCCAUGUCUGCUUCUCAAUCAUAAUUGUCCACUCCUUGAAUGUAGCUAACAUAUCACUCUUUUUCUUCAAGAAGAACACCCAAACUUUUCUGGAAAAAAUCAUCAAUGAUAGUUAACAUAUAACUAACACAUCCCUUAGAAGGCACCCUAGAUGGUCCCCGAAGAUUAGAAUGUAUAUAAUUGAGUGUCCUCUUUGUGUUGUGAAUGCCUUUUGUGAAUUUGACUCUUCUCUGCUUCCCAAAAACGCAGUGCUCAUAGAACUUUAGUUUUCUAAUACUCUAACCAUUAAGAAGUCCUCUUUUGCUCAAUUCAAUCAUCCCAUUCUCACUCAUAUGCCUAAGGCGCAUAUGCCAAAGUCUAGUAACAUCACCAUCUAAUAAGGAAGAAGUAGCAACAACUACAUCACUUAUAACUGUGGAUCCCUACAAGACAUAUAAUUUGGUAGAUCUUUUCUGCCAUUUCAUCACAACAAGAACACAUUUACUAACCUUUAAGACUCCACCUUCACCAGUAUACUUGUACCCUUUUGAAUCAAGAGUACUCAAUGAGAUAAAGUUCCUCUUUAGAUUUGGAAUGUGUCUCAUAUCACCAAACAUAGAUGGACAUUCAAGAAUAAAGAUUAGAAUUAGAUUUGAACCCAAACAUCAUUUAAAUCAGAGAUUGUAUAGGUCAUUAUAGAAGAUUAUUAUUAAAUUUGGCCCGAAAAAUAAAUCUUUUACAUUUUACUCCCUACUAUAAGUGACCUACCACCAGCCUAAAAAGAAGAAAUGUGGGCCUAAUGAGGGUUUUUUUUUUUUUUUUGAUAUUUUCCAUUUAUAUAACUAACUUGAACAAUGGUGUACCCUUAAAAGUAGAAAAGAUCCAUGUAGUAUUCUUCGGUUUAUUAUGGUUAUGUUUGGUUAUGAGAAAAUUUAAAGGAAAAUGUGAAGAAAAGAAAAUAAAAAAGAAAAAUAAAAAGAAAGAAAAUUAAAAAUGGGUUUAAAUUCAAUGAAUUAUUUUUAUAUGCUUCUCCAAACUCAUUUCACUUUUUUUUUUCAUUAUAAUAAGAUUAAAUAAUUUAAAAAUAUAUAAAAUUUUAACUAAUUUUAUUUUAUUUUGUAUUUUUUCAUAAUGAAACUAAAUAUAAGAAAACUAUUUUUCUUAACUUUUUUUUUCUUAAUAUUUUCCAAGAGACUAAAUAUAGCCUAGAUGUAUCUAGUAGAAAGAUCCAACAUGGGGUUGGAAAAAAAUCAUAGAAGAAGAUAUAUCUUGAAGGGGAGAUCAAAGGAUAUUAAAUGGGACUAUGACCCACACCUGAGAUUUAUGGGCUGCUUAAUGGAACAAACCAGAUUUUUAUCCACCAUAUUGAAUAUUGAAUAUGGUAUUCUUCCAAUUAUUAAAUGUAUUCAGCGAAAAGGUCCAAUUGUUAGUAAAAGAAGAACAGGUCAAACUAUCGUACUAGGGUGCUAUGAGUGAGAUUGUGAUUACAUCAACUUUUAAUUAUUUAGAAUAUUGUCCAUUAUAUAUUUUAAUUUUUUAUAAUAUUAAUUUAUUUUAUUGAUUAAGAAUUAUAAUUUAAUGUAUACUUAACAUUAAAAUCUUAUAUAGUUCCAAUUUCAUACAAGUAACUAAAUUUUUUAUAUUGAUCUCAUCUCUGCACCCAAAUGCCCAUUUCCUCUUGAAGAUUAAAAAUUAAAAAUAAAAAUUAAUCCAUCUAACAACCAAGUUAAAAUGUAUUUAUAUAUCAUAAAAAAAAAAAAUCAUCACCGAAUAAACCAAUAACCAUAAAAAUAAAAAUGGAAAAUCAUCUAUAAAUAAAUCAAAACAAAAUAUAAAAAGAAAAUAAUAUUUUCAUGGUUGAUUAACCCUAUGAGUUGGAUGAUAAAAGCGUUAAUAUCGAGUUGGAGGCAAAACCAAUAACCAUCGGAAGAUAUUCUUCGAUUGCUACCACACGGUGCUGUAGAAUUUUCCAAAAGGGAGGCCAGUGUAAAGGAGACGUGCAAGAUGUUCUUCUAUUGCUUCCACACAGUGGUGUCGAAUUUUCCUAGAAGAUAUAUUGAAAGGGAGAUCAGUGGAAAGGAGACUUUGACUCACCGGUCGUUGGGCCUCAGGUCCGCCACUGCCUGUUUUGGAUGACUAUAAAACUAUUGAUGGGCUGCUUAAACGCUGCUUAUGAGUUAUGGUUAACAUGAAAAUUUCAACCAGAAGGUGGUCUGCUAAUCUUGUUUUCUUGCUUAUUUCUUCAGGUUUUCACUGGCAAUUUGUUGAUGCAUUUACAGAUACAAUCUUACAAGGUCAAUCAAUCACAACCUCUCAGACCAUCAUCUCUGCUGGAGGUAACUUUGAAUUAGGAUUCUUUUCUCCUGGAAAGUCCACAAAAUACUAUGUGGGGAUAUGGUACAAGAAAAUCUUAGAGCAAACCAUUGUGUGGGUAGCUAACCGAGACUAUUCAUUCACAAAUCCGUCCGUGAUUCUCACUGUCAGCACAGAUGGCAACCUCGAGAUUUUGGAGGGGAAGUUUUCGUACAAGGUGACAAGCAUAUCAUCAAACAGCAACACUAGUGCCACCCUGUUGGAUUCUGGAAAUCUUGUUUUGAGGAAUGGCAACUCAGAUAUCUUAUGGGAGAGCUUUGACUAUCCAACGGACACACUCCUGCCCGGAAUGAAAAUCGGACAUGACAAAAGGUCUGGAAAAACAUGGUCAUUGGUGUCAUGGAAGAGCGCAGAAGAUCCCGGUCCAGGAGAUUUCUCCGUGCAGGUCGACCCUAAUGGAACUAGACAGAUUUUUAGCCUGCAAGGACCCAACAGGUAUUGGACUACUGGGGUGUGGGAUGGGCAGAUUUUCAGCCAGAUUCCUGAGUUGCGUUUCUACUACUUUUAUAAGUACAAUACAUCCUUUAAUGAGAAUGAAAGCUAUUUCACUUACUCUUUUCAUGAUCCCUCCAUUCUGAGCAGAGUGGUGGUAGAUGUGUCAGGCCAGGUUAGGAAACUGAAAUGGCAUGAAGGCACACAUGAAUGGCAUUUAUUUUGGCUUCAACCAAAAAUACAGUGUGAGAUUUAUGCUUACUGUGGGCCUUUUGGAACCUGCACUCGGGAUUCUGUUGAAUUUUGUGAAUGCUUACCAGGUUUUGAACCUCGCUUCCCUGAAGACUGGAAUCUGCAAGACAGAUCUGGAGGGUGUGUGAGGAAAGAAGAUUUGCAGUGUGUCAAUGAAAGCCAUGCUAAUGGGGAGCGAGACCAGUUUCUUUUGGUGUCUAACGUGAGACUGCCCAAGUAUCCAGUAACACUGCAAGCAAGGACUGCUAUGGAGUGCGAAUCAAUUUGCCUGAAUCGCUGCUCUUGCUCUGCUUAUGCUUACGAGGGAGAGUGUAGAAUAUGGGGUGGAGAUCUUGUAAACGUGGAGCAGCUACCAGAUGGUGACAGUAAUGCUAGAAGUUUCUACAUCAAACUUGCUGCCUCUGAGCUAAAUAAGAGAGGUAAGAAAAAAGAGUCAUAGUUGUUAUUGUAGGAGGACAUAGAGCAUAUGGGUCUUGUUUUAUUUUCAAUAUAAAAUGGCCAUGGAUUCAGCUAAAUUUAAUAUGAUAUAUUUCCUUCUACAGUUUCAACCAGCAAGUGGAAGGUAUGGUUAAUUGUCACACUGGCCAUAUCUUUAACUUCAGUAUUUGUCAAUUAUGGGAUAUGGCGAAGGUUCCGAAGAAAAGGUCAGUAUUUCUCAUGGACAGAAGGAUGGCCAAGCAGUUCAACAGUUUUUAGGUUCCAUCUGCAAAUACAAAGCCAGUUCUUUUUUUAAAAUGAGUUCAUUACCACUGUUAUUGAAUAAUUAAGGUAACAUUAGGAUUUCAUGUUCUGAUUACAUGUGAGUGUGUAUGUGGAAUCCAAUGUGAGAAAUAAUUUAUUCCCAUGCCGGAAUUCCUACAUUCUUAUGAUAUUUAAUGUCUGUUUGUUCUUUACCAAGCAGGGGAAGAUUUGUUAGUAUUUGAUUUCGGUAACAGCUCAGAAGAUACCAACUGCUAUGAGCUUGGCGAGACAAAUAGACUUUGGAGGGACGAGAAGAAGGAAGUUGAUUUGCCCAUGUUCAGUUUUGCGAGUGUAUCUGCUUCUACAAAUAACUUCUGUAUUGAAAAUAAACUAGGAGAGGGCGGUUUUGGAUCUGUUUACAAGGUGAGAUUAUAACCCCUGACAAUAAUGUUCUACAAUUUGUCCUGGAAUGUAAAGGCCUACUUGAUAUAUACCAAAUUUCUUUUACUUGGUGUAAUUGUAGUCUGUUGAAAUUCCCAUGACAGGGAAAGUCACAAAGAGGAUAUGAGGUAGCUGUGAAAAGGCUCUCAAAAAGAUCUAAACAGGGAUGGGAGGAGUUAAAAAAUGAAGCCAUGCUUAUAGCCAAGUUGCAACACAAGAAUCUUGUGAAAGUUUUGGGAUACUGCAUCGAGCGGGAUGAGAAGAUAUUGAUUUAUGAGUAUAUGUCCAACAAAAGCUUGGAUUUCUUCCUCUUUGGUUUGUAACUUCCACAUACAUAUGCUUCCAGCUACUGUAUAUUCAAUGAGAACUUUAUACAUUCAUCAUUCUUCACCACUUACUUGCUAACAUCUAUUUUUUUGGUGUAAAAUGGAAAUAGAUCCUGCAAAACGCGGGAUUCUGAAUUGGGAGACGCGAGUUCACAUCAUUGAAGGGGUUGCUCAGGGACUUCUUUAUCUCCAUCAGUACUCCAGAUUGAGAGUUAUUCAUCGAGAUUUGAAGGCUAGCAACAUUCUUCUGGAUAAAGACAUGAACCCUAAAAUAUCAGAUUUUGGAAUGGCAAGAAUUUUUGGAGGAAAUGAAUCAAAAGCAACAAAACAUAUAGUUGGGACUUAGUAAGUGAAUCCUAACGCAUUGUAAAAUAUGUGGACUGUCUCAUAACAUGCUUUUUUUCUACAUAUAUAUUUGUAAUCAUGCAAUUACUAAAUGAAUUGUUUUAAUAAUGAAUCCAGUGGCUACAUGUCCCCCGAGUAUGUUUUGCGAGGUCUCUUUUCAACUAAAUCUGAUGUUUUUAGCUUCGGGGUCUUGUUAUUAGAGAUUCUAAGUGGCAAGAAGAUUACUGAAUUUUAUCAUAGUGACUCGCUCAAUCUUCUUGGAUAUGUAAGUAACACAAAUUUCCUCUUAUGUAGCUAAAGUUAUCAUGUUUACUACUAUAUUUCAAGCUUUAAGUUACAUACUUGAAUGCAAUUGACCGAAUUAGGACUAUAUAUCUUUUUUUCUUUUUUCGGGAAUGUGCAUCAAAGUAUAAUUUUCUUUCCUUUAGGCAUGGGAUCUGUGGAAAAGCAACAGAGGACAAGAGUUGAUUGAUCCAGUAUUGAAUGAGAUAUCUUUGAGACAUAUUCUGUUAAGGUACAUCAAUGUAGCCCUUCUUUGUGUUCAAGAAAGUGCAGAUGAUAGGCCCACCAUGUCCGAUGUUGUCUCCAUGCUUGUCAAGGAAAAUGUACUUUUAUCUUCUCCAAAUGAGCCGGCCUUCUUAAAUCUAUCGAGUAUGAAACCACAUGCAUCUCAAGAUAGGCUUGAAAUUUGUUCCUUAAAUGAUGUAACACUUUCAAGCAUGGGAGCACGAUAAGUGUUCUAAAUUUCAGAUUGCAUAUGCUUAAAUGUCUUCAGCAUAUUGUCUAGUAUUAUUAUUGGCCAUCAAGUGGAUUGUUGAUGUACUGAACGUGUGAACUUUUGUAUGUAUUUUUCUUUCAAUGCAGUUCAAUAAUGUGCUUAAUUUUACUCAAUCCUCAAGGAUUCAGACCUGUAUCUCAUCUUCCCAUCUGUAAUUGCUACUGAAUCUGCUUUUAUGCAUUGCCAAUCCAGACACUAAAAUACAACCCUCAGAGCUUACUGCAAAUGUUCAACUAGUGCUAGGAAAGACGAGCUUUUGCGCAUGCUACAGCUAAGCAUAAGUACUAAUUAACAUAUAGGCAAGAGGGAAAGUGAGGAAGGAAAGCAGCUAUAGAUUUUUUUGCCUUUUAAACUGUGAUAGCAUCUAGCAUUUUUUUUAAGAGAAGAAAUAGUAUAAUUUAAUUGAGUACUCGUAAAACCUUCUUUUCUUAUUGGACAUGGUUUCAAUAAAACCCAUUUGGUUGCCAAGAAAUCUGAGGAAAUUCAGGAUGUGGAUGGGGAAUUUGAAGUCUACCUUCGUCCCUAUAGCUUAAAAUGAAAAGGCAUAGUUACAAACUAAGCUUACAUUCUGGCAGAAACGUAUAUAUUCCCUAUUGGGGCUUGCAGUAGGAGAUUGACCUGGAAGCCAACCAGAAAAGACAUGCAUCUAUGAUUAAAAGGAGCUCAUGCUCACAAGAAACUUUCUCUCUAUCCAAUGUGGGAUAUGACACCCUGAAGUAUGAAUAUCACUACUUACUAUUGCUAGCUAUGGACAAGGAAAAAAAAACAAGAGAAGGAAAAAAAACGAAAGGAGGAAUAAGCAAAAUGAUGUCCAAGGAUUCAAAAUUGUUUACAGUAAUUGGCCAGAAGCUAGAUCAAUUUCAUGAAAAUAUUUAAUUCCCCAAAAUUAAGAGUAAGUUUUUCCCAACAAAAUUGUUAUUUUUUUAAUUCCCUUAAUCCUAUGGGUUCAAGAACAAGCCGAGUCCAGUACGACUCGGCCGAGUCGGAUAGACUCAUACUCAAUCAGGAAUCGCUUAAACUCGGUUAACUCAACGGAGAUUCCGAGUUGACUCGGUUGAACCGUUCGUGUUAACAAAAGAAAUCGUUUUUUCACUUUCGAAUCUCAGCAGAGGAACAACAAACGAGAUGUAAACCUAAAAAACCUCUGAAAAAUCAAAGAUUGUCUUCAAAAGGAAAAGUUUCUCAACAACCAUGAUGAAGAGGAAGAAAGACAUCAGUCUAACCCAUGACUGAGUCUUGGAGGUGCACAAGAAGAAGAGGUUGAGGUAUUACUAACUUCAGAACAAUCAUGGAUGUGGAGCGCCUUCGAUGGUCCCGGUGUGGUAACUGGUGUGAUGAGAAGAUUCCCUCCAUUGACGUGAGCGGCCAUCGCUGCAUCUGGUCUCUCCUCUCUCUAAUUUUGGUCUCAGUUCUCGCCUGCUUCUGUCUGCCUCCCUCCCUCCCUCUCUCUCUCUCUCUCUCCCUGGUACGGGUGAGUUAGUGAUUUGAAGAAAGGGUGGCAAUCGGUGCCAGAAAAUUGGGGAUUUGAAGACAGGGUGGUCAAUGUUUUAAUAUCAAAAUUAUUUAUAAUUGUAUAUGUUAAUAUUAG
rnacentral:lncRNA from 1 species